rnacentral:lncRNA from 1 species
GAGAUUAAAGGAUAAGCAGUCAGAUAAUUACAGUAUUACAUGAUAACUGAUACAGUAGAGUAACAAUGAGAGUGCAGAAAUAAGAACAACUAAUUCAGGUUGAGGGUAGGAAGAAUAACCUAGAAUCUUCUAAAGGAAAUAGAAUAUGAACAAAAAUUAGGAAUGAUUUGUUGACUUCAAAUGGUAUAUUCAUUUUUUAUUUAACAUUUUUGAGUGAUGUUGUAUGUUAGAAGACAAAAAUAAGUUAACUUAUAUGCUCUUGAAAUUCUUAUUUUAGAGAGGAUAUUGUAGUAAAUGUUGAGAAAAUUGUUCCUGUGGUAAAGAAGGUAAAGGAAACACAUAAUUAUAAAAGAAUUGAUGCUUCUUAAGAUGCGUCUUGAAAAUGAUAGAUGUUCUUCACAUGAGCCAUAAUAGGAAGGGCAUUUCAAAAAUAGGAUGAAGUUUUACAUGUGGCCUGUUCAAGGACUACAAAUUCAGUACACCAAUGCAGUGGUGCAGUAAGGCGUAGUAACAAAUGAAACUACUCAGGCAGGGGUCCAAAUCCGACAUUGGGUACAGAUAGGGUGUUGUACACAAUGCAAGGAAGUCUGACUUGAGACAAUGAAAAGGAGUUUUUAGUAGGAGAGUGAUGAAUGAAG